rnacentral:rRNA from 1 species
UACGGGGGGGGCAAGCGUUUGUUCGGAAUUACUGGGCGUAAAGGGCUCGUAGGUGGCCAACUAAGUCAGACGUGAAAUCCCUCGGCUUAACCGGGGAACUGCAUCCGAUACUGGAUGGCUUGAAUCCGGGAGAGGGAUGCAGAAUUCCAGGUGUAGCGGUGAAAUGCGUAGAUAUCUGGAGGAACACCGGUGGCGAAGGCGGCAUCCUGGACCGGUAUUGACGCUGAGGCGCGAAAGCUAGGGGAGCAAACGGGG